UAACAUUCUGAAAAGAAUGCUAAUACCGCAUGACAUAUCGGAACCACAUGGUUUUGAUAUCAAAGAUUUUAUCGCUUGAAGAUGGACUCGCGUCCGAUUAGUUAGUUGGUGAGGUAACGGCUCACCAAGACCGCGAUCGGUAGCCGGACUGAGAGGUUGAACGGCCACAUUGGGACUGAGACACGGCCCAGACUCCUACGGGAGGCAGCAGUGGGGGAUAUUGCGCAAUGGGGGCAACCCUGACGCAGCAACGCCGCGUGAAGGAUGAAGGUUUUCGGAUUGUAAACUUCUUUUAUUAAGGACGAAAAAUGACGGUACUUAAUGAAUAAGCUCCGGCUAACUACGUGCCAGCAGCCGCGGUAAUACGUAGGGAGCAAGCGUUGUCCGGAUUUACUGGGUGUAAAGGGUGCGUAGGCGGCUUUGCAAGUCAGAUGUGAAAUCUAUGGGCUCAACCCAUAAACUGCAUUUGAAACUGUAGAGCUUGAGUGAAGUAGAGGCAGGCGGAAUUCCCCGUGUAGCGGUGAAAUGCGUAGAGAUGGGGAGGAACACCAGUGGCGAAGGCGGCCUGCUGGGCUUUAACUGACGCUGAGGCACGAAAGCGUGGGUAGCAAACAGGAUUAGAUACCCUGGUAGUCCACGCUG
rnacentral:rRNA from 1 species